GGCUGGUCUGCGUGCAGUGGUGUUUGCAACUGAUGAUCACAACCGGCUACGGAUUCCUUUGUUCCUUCCCCCACUCCACUCCUAGGGCUUCACUUGACCAGCCAUUA
rnacentral:Y_RNA from 1 species